rnacentral:rRNA from 1 species
GGGUUGUGAGGUUAAGCGACUAAGCGUACACGGUGGAUGCCUAGGCAGUCAGAGGCGAUGAAGGGCGUGCUAAUCUGCGAAAAGCGUCGGUAAGCUGAUAUGAAGCGUAAUAACCGACGAUACCCGAAUGGGGAAACCCAGUGCAAUUCGUUGCACUAUUGCAUGGUGAAUACAUAGCCAUGCAAGGCGAACCGGGGGAACUGAAACAUCUAAGUACCCCGAGGAAAAGAAAUCAACCGAGAUUCCCCCAGUAGCGGCGAGCGAACGGGGAAGAGCCCAGAGUCUGAAUCAGUUGGUGUGUUAGUGGAAGCGUCUGGAAAGUCGCACGGUACAGGGUGAUAGUCCCGUACACAAAAACACACUGGCUGUGAACUCGAUGAGUAGGGCGGGACACGUGACAUCCUGUCUGAAUAUGGGGGGACCAUCCUCCAAGGCUAAAUACUCCUGACUGACCGAUAGUGAACCAGUACCGUGAGGGAAAGGCGAAAAGAACCCCGGCGAGGGGAGUGAAAUAGAACCUGAAACCGUGUACGUACAAGCAGUGGGAGCACCUUCGUGGUGUGACUGCGUACCUUUUGUAUAAUGGGUCAGCGACUUAUAUUUUGUAGCAAGGUUAACCGAAUAGGGGAGCCGUAGGGAAACCGAGUCUUAACUGGGCGUCUAGUUGCAAGGUAUAGACCCGAAACCCGGUGAUCUAGCCAUGGGCAGGUUGAAGGUUGGGUAACACUAACUGGAGGACCGAACCGACUAAUGUUGAAAAAUUAGCGGAUGACUUGUGGCUGGGGGUGAAAGGCCAAUCAAACCGGGAGAUAGCUGGUUCUCCCCGAAAGCUAUUUAGGUAGCGCCUCGUGAACUCAUCUUCGGGGGUAGAGCACUGUUUCGGCUAGGGGUCCAUCCCGGAUUACCAAACCGAUGCAAACUCCGAAUACCGAAGAAUGUUAUCACGGGAGACACACGGCGGGUGCUAACGUCCGUCGUGAAGAGGGAAACAACCCAGACCGCCAGCUAAGGUCCCAAAGUCAUGGUUAAGUGGGAAACGAUGUGGGAAGGCAUAGACAGCCAGGAUGUUGGCUUAGAAGCAGCCAUCAUUUAAAGAAAGCGUAAUAGCUCACUGGUCGAGUCGGCCUGCGCGGAAGAUGUAACGGGGCUAAACCAUGCACCGAAGCUGCGGCAGCGACGCUUAGGCGUUGUUGGGUAGGGGAGCGUUCUGUAAGCCGUUGAAGGUGGCCUGUGAGGGCUGCUGGAGGUAUCAGAAGUGCGAAUGCUGACAUAAGUAACGAUAAUGCGGGUGAAAAACCCGCACGCCGGAAGACCAAGGGUUCCUGUCCAACGUUAAUCGGGGCAGGGUGAGUCGACCCCUAAGGCGAGGCUGAAAAGCGUAGUCGAUGGGAAACAGGUUAAUAUUCCUGUACUGGGUGUGACUGCGAAGGGGGGACGGAGAAGGCUAGGCUAGCCGGGCGACGGUUGUCCCGGUUUAAGCAUGUAGGCGGAGUGACUUGGUAAAUCCGGUUGCUUAUCAACGCUGAGGUGUGAUGACGAGCCACUACGGUGGUGAAGUAGUUGAUGCCAAGCUUCCAGGAAAAGCCUCUAAGCAUCAGGUGACAUUCAAUCGUACCCCAAACCGACACAGGUGGUCAGGUAGAGAAUACUCAGGCGCUUGAGAGAACUCGGGUGAAGGAACUAGGCAAAAUGGUGCCGUAACUUCGGGAGAAGGCACGCUGGCAUUAGGUAAAGAGACUUGCUCUCGGCGCCGAAGCCAGUCGCAGAUACCAGCUGGCUGCAACUGUUUAAUAAAAACACAGCACUGUGCAAACACGAAAGUGGACGUAUACGGUGUGACGCCUGCCCGGUGCUGGAAGGUUAAUUGAUGGGGUCAGCCGCAAGGCGAAGCUCUUGAUCGAAGCCCCAGUAAACGGCGGCCGUAACUAUAACGGUCCUAAGGUAGCGAAAUUCCUUGUCGGGUAAGUUCCGACCUGCACGAAUGGCGUAAUGAUGGCCAGGCUGUCUCCACCCGAGACUCAGUGAAAUUGAACUCGCUGUGAAGAUGCAGUGUACCCGCGGCAAGACGGAAAGACCCCGUGAACCUUUACUAUAGCUUGACACUGAAUAUUGAGCCUUGAUGUGUAGGAUAGGUGGGAGGCAUCGAAGCGUGGACGCCAGUCUGCGUGGAGCCAACCUUGAAAUACCACCCUUUAAUGUUUGAUGUUCUAACUCGGCCCCAUAAUCUGGGGUGAGGACAGUGUCUGGUGGGUAGUUUGACUGGGGCGGUCUCCUCCCAAAGAGUAACGGAGGAGCACGAAGGUUAGCUAAUCACGGUCGGACAUCGUGAGGUUAGUGCAAAGGCAUAAGCUAGCUUGACUGCGAGAGUGACGGCUCGAGCAGGUACGAAAGUAGGUCUUAGUGAUCCGGUGGUUCUGAAUGGAAGGGCCAUCGCUCAACGGAUAAAAGGUACUCCGGGGAUAACAGGCUGAUACCGCCCAAGAGUUCAUAUCGACGGCGGUGUUUGGCACCUCGAUGUCGGCUCAUCACAUCCUGGGGCUGAAGUAGGUCCCAAGGGUAUGGCUGUUCGCCAUUUAAAGUGGUACGCGAGCUGGGUUUAGAACGUCGUGAGACAGUUCGGUCCCUAUCUGCCGUGGGCGUUGGAAGAUUGAGAGGGGCUGCUCCUAGUACGAGAGGACCGGAGUGGACGCAUCACUGGUGUUCGGGUUGUCAUGCCAAUGGCAUUGCCCGGUAGCUAAAUGCGGAAAAGAUAAGCGCUGAAAGCAUCUAAGCGCGAAACUUGCCUCGAGAUGAGUCUUCCCUGGGGCUUUAAGCCCCCUGAAGGAACGUUAAAGACUAUGACGUUGAUAGGCUGGGUGUGUAAGUGCAGCGAUGCAUUGAGCUAACCAGUACUAAUGAUCCGUGAGGCUUAACCUUACAACACCGAAGGUGUUU